ensembl:lncRNA novel transcript
GACAAAGUUAAGGAUGCGCAUCCGUGACACGACCUCGGGAAGUCCUGACGACAUGUGCCCAAGGUGGUCGGGGCACAGCCUGGUUUUAUACAUUUUAGGGAGACAUGAGACAUCAAUCAAUACAUGUAAGAAGUACACUGGUUCCAUCCAGAAAGACGGGGACAGCUCCAAGCAGGAAAGGGGUUUCCAGGUCACAGGUAGGUGAGACAACUGGUUGCAUUCUUUUGAGUUUAGAGACAACCGGUUGCAUUCUUUUGAGUUUCUGGUAAGCGAGGCAAUCAGAAUAUGCAUCUAUCUCAGUGAGCAGAGGGAUGAGUUUGAAUAGAAUGGGAGGGAGUUUUGCCCUGAGCAGUUCCCAGCUUGAAGGGACCCAAGAGAUUUUUCCUUUCACAGCCCCACGUCAUCGCAGGAGUCGUUGUGAGAGGGAGGCAGGAGGGUCAGGGUCAGCAAGGAGAUGGUUGAUGGAGGCGGAGGUCAGGGCGAUGCGACCGCUGGCUUUGAAGAUGGCCGUGAGCCAGGGACUGCAGGUGGCCUCUAAAGGCUGGAGAAGCGAGGAAACAGAUUCUCCCCUAAAGCCUCCAGAAAGGAACCGUUCUGCCCACACUUUGACUUCUCAAAACUGUAAAAGAAUGAAUGUGUGUUGUUUCAAGCCACUAAAUUUGUGGUCAUUUGUUACAGCCGCCAUAGGAAUCUCACACAGAACCUCAGAGAGCAGUGUGAAGAUAGAAGCUUCCUCCAGUGAAGCAGCAGCCCCGGCACUGGGCCUGCAGUGGAGACCGGGAAUGAGAGAAGCCCCUGGCGUGGGCUGGCAAGGACGCAGAGCACGGAGAGCACCUGGGGCAGGGCCGGCGCCAACGGCAUAACACAUGCUGCUGCUCCUCUCCCGCGGGGCCCAUGGAGAUGGCUGGAAGCAGCCCAACGUCAGGGCAGAUCCCUACCUUCACACUCACAUAAGAGAAGAGUGAAGUUUCGGGGACUCCACACCUCAAGGUAGUUCCACCGUGCGAGGUGCUGCGCUCACAGUAUUACUCAUGCACCUUUCUGAUAAGAAAAGUGAAAAUGUGAAGUUGAAAACUGAAGACGCCCAGCAACUUCCUGAAUCCAGCCCUCCACGUCCUGCCCUACGGGACGGACGACUCCCAAAGAGGAAUCGUUGGUGGAAGUCCCAUGUUUCGUUGCCGUUGGAAGGGGGAACUGGUCAAGGGCUCAUCUCUGGACCCACACCCCAUAACCAACAUGGAAGCCUGGAUUUGGCCCUGGAUCAGGCUGGCUCCCCAGGGAAGGGUCCAGUCUCUCCGGGGAGACAUCCCGACUUCGGGUCCUGCUUUCUCUACUGUAAUUCGAGGCUGGCCAUGCCCCUCAGUGGGCCUCAGUUUCCUCACCUGUACAGUGGGGAAAUCCAUAGGACCUACCUCCUGGGAGGGCACUGAGGACCGAGGGAAUGAAUGCCUGUCCAGUGCUCAUGAUCGUGACAAGCACUGCGCAGAAUAAAUCCGGAAUAAACGCUCACCGGGUGAGGGAGGGCAGGGAAG